rnacentral:rRNA from 1 species
UACAGAGGGGGCAAGCGUUGUUCGGAAUUACUGGGCGUAAAGGGCGCGUAGGCGGCCUGUUAAGUCGAACGUGAAAUCCCCGGGCUCAACCCGGGAACUGCGUCCGAUACUGGCAGGCUUGAAUUCGGGAGGGGGAUGUGGAAUUCCAGGUGUAGCGGUGAAAUGCGUAGAUAUCGAGAGGAACACCAGUGGCGAAGGUGACUACCUGGCCCAUUCUUGACGCUGAGGCGCGAAAGCUAGGGGAGCGAACGGG